GAUGAACGCUGGCGGCGUGCUUAACACAUGCAAGUCGAACGAUGAAGCCCAGCUUGCUGGGUGGAUUAGUGGCGAACGGGUGAGUAACACGUGAGUAACCUGCCCUUGACUCUGGGAUAAGCCUGGGAAACUGGGUCUAAUACUGGAUAUGACUUCUCAUCGCAUGGUGGGGGGUGGAAAGAUUUAUUGGUCUUGGAUGGACUCGCGGCCUAUCAGCUUGUUCGUGAGGGAAUGGCUCACCAAGGCGACGACGGAUAGCCGGCCUGAGAGGGUGACCGGCCACACUGGGACUGAGACACGGCCCAGACUCCUACGGGAGGCAGCAGUGGGGAAUAUUGCACAAUGGGCGCAAGCCUGAUGCAGCGACGCCGCGUGGGGGAUGACGGCCUUCGGGUUGUAAACCUCUUUCAGUAGGGAAGAAGCGAGAGUGACGGUACCUGCAGAAGAAGCGCCGGCUAACUACGUG
rnacentral:rRNA from 1 species